AUGAUACUGCUCAAGUCGAGGCUCGGGUAUAAUUUUUUGACCGCAUCUCGACCAUCUUCAUACCCGACGCAGUACGAGGCGAAGCCACUUUCGAGGAUCUCUUUCUUGAAUUCUUCUGAACUUCAGAAAUCUUCGACUGUCCGACUCAAUGCCUCCCUUGCCGACUCUGCUUUCGCCUUUGCCAAGUCAGCAUCAGCUCCAGCAGAGGAUAAUUCUUUUUCAGCUAGUGCCAACCUUUCCAGACUGACCCGAUGACGUCCACGUUCGGCUUCGAGUUCGUCGAUGCAUCUGUCUUGCUCCCAUCGAAGCCGGUGGAUAGAGUGCUUCUUGCUCUUGACCUGUGACUUAAGAGUCAAAAUAGCCUCGUGAGCCAACUUAAGUUCGGCCCCCGAGGAUACCAAGUCAUCAGUUAGUCGAAAAACCUCCUCCUGAAGUUUGGCUUCCCGCUCCACCACCGACUUAAGUUGUUCGAGUGCAGCCGC
rnacentral:lncRNA from 1 species